GUUACUGUGGCAGAGUGGUUAAUGCAGAAGGCCUAAGCCCUUCCCGCCAUGGGUUCAAUUCCCAUCAGUAACU
rnacentral:tRNA from 1 species